CGUUGCGCGGUGAAAACCCUAGCCCAAUCCCUCGUCCCUCCUCUCCUCGAGCCCCGCGUCCCCUUCUUCGUGCUCGCCACCACCACCGUGUCGUCUCCUCCCCUUCGCGUUUCUUCUCCUCCCGCGUAGGAUCCAUGGCUCCAUGGCGGCUGCUGGCUCGAGGCAGGGGAGCGGCCGAUGCGGGGUCGGUUGGAUCGAGGCGGGGAGCGGCGGAUGCGGCGUCGGCGUCGGCGGCGGUGGCAGGAGAAGAGAGGCGGUGGCGGCGUCGACCUGCAAAGAGGCGAAAGGAGCAGUGGUGGCGGCGUCGAGCUGCGAAGAGGCGCCGCUCAGGCGCGAGACCAUGGAGGCGGGAGUGCCUGCUUCGGGCCCCGAUCUCGGAGGGUACGAGGCAGGGAAGGGCGACAUUGCCGGCGUCACAGCGCGUGGAGCCUGAGCCCCUGAUGAUGGGCGACGCCAAGGCCCCGCGACCGCGACAGGGAGCUCCUCAUCCGCCGUCUCCGGCGGCAGCGGCGGCGGCUCGGUCCCCCGCGCCGAGGACGACGACAACUUGGACAGUUCAUAGGAGUAGGGAUGUUGACCCUUGGCGAGUGUUUGUUGUGCUGAGGCUUACUAUUGGAUUGACUGGUCAAACUGGUGAUGAGCUUGAUCACUUUUUUGGUGCAAUUUGAGGGGUACUUGCCAUGCUGACAGAAAAUUCAGACCGGCGCCGAGAUUUCUUGUCGCGAGGAAAUCACGGGAGGAUGAGAUGAACCCGGACGAGGUCGCUGCAGUCAUUGGCGCCUCCUCCGCCGUGGGAGGCCAAGGGUGAGAGGAAGGAGGCGUCGUCAGCUCCAGAAGGACCGGCAGCCCUCCUCGUCAACGGCAUAUGCCGAGGUCGCUGCUGGUGCCGCUGACUCCGCACCAGCCUCCUUCAUCUCCCAACCAAGGCCAGCUCAACCCCUCAAGAAGAGCAGGGAUGCUCUCUUUCUACACCCAGCGUCCACACAACCAGAUCGACAAGGGUUUGGAUGGCCUGAUGAGAGCAGCCCAGUAGUUGUACCUCUGCAACUUCGGCAAUGUAUACAGUCAUCAGUACCAUCUCUUUACCGCACUUUUUACAUUUCAUUUUUUUGAGUUGUUUGAUUCAUUUUCUUUUCCAACUGAAUCAACUCUCGAGGUGGACGCAUAGCUCUCUAUAAGAAGAUCAAUCAUCGAUGACUUACUGAUUUACAAGGCACGUAAAAAAUAUAUACUUUCUAUGUGUUCUUUGGAUCAACUAAUGAGAAAACAGAUUGGGGGGAUAAGAGGCUAUUGGUGUUUAUUCCCCCUCCGCUCCCCUGCGCCGCUCCCUCUCCUCCGACCAUGGGCAGCAGCAGUCAGAGAACCAGGGGCAGCUGGUUUCAACGGGAAGCUACGUACUUAUAUGCCCCCACCAAUUUCAACGGAGAAAUAUGACCAGCGACAACUACUAAUAUCAGGUGGAUCCAAGGUUAUAUGAUUUGUACAUGGCGGUGUUACUGAACAGAAGGAGAAUAUAGGAAUCACCAACAGCCCUUCUGUAGUUCCAAGGAAGUGCUCAACCUAGACGUUGUUGGCCGAAGGAGGGGCGGAGCAGGUGCCAGUCAGGUAGGCGGCUCAAUGGGUGGGAGAUGGCAGCUGCCGAUCUCACAUGGCUCCUGCGCCCCACUACCCUCCCCUCCCCGGCUAAGUAGGAGGUUCGAGGGCAGCGACUAAGGAAGGAGCACAUCGGCGAUGAGGGCUAGCAACAGCAAGACGCAACUGUCAGGUGCUGUCGAUAUGCCACCACGUCGGCCCCUUCACGCGCGACCGCCGGGGUCUGGGCCUUUUUCUCAGCAAUGCGUAGUGUUUCCUUUAUUGUUGUUGUUUGUGUUGUCCUAGAUAUUCCUUUGCCAUAUGAUUUUUGAUCAUUUUCUCGCUCAUUCCUAGAGGAGCGCUAUGGAUAAUAUGAUUGCGAUGACUAAGAUACAUGCUUUUUGUUUACUUGGGAUCUGCUUCUCUUAAUUUUUCUGCAAUCCUUACUUUACACACUGGUAUGUUUUGUUGCCAGGCUCAGAUCGGCGAGACCCGUGCCAAUGCAUGAGGUACAAUAUUUUUCUUAUUUAUUCCUUUCAUACAUAUUGAGUUCAUUCACCCUAUUAUAUAUACUGAUUAAACAGUCACGCUCAUUUCUCAUGUUUAUGUUCAGGCCUAACCUCACAAAACUUUGGUAUGCACUCACGUAUAAUCAGGGCUUGCUUAUUUUAAUUGUUGAAUUCAUUUUAUAAAUAUUAUAUCAUUAUUAUUUGUAAUCAGUUUUUUGUUUAUGAUUUCCGAUUGGGUAAUAUCCCAUCAUACUACUAGGCAUUGGCCAGGUACUGGACUUUGGCUGGUUGUCAAUAUAAGCUUUGUGUUCUCCUUUGUUUUUACCUCAUUUAUAAAGUCCUUGAUUGAGCAUGCAUUUGAUUUCUAUGCCAACAUAGAUCUUAUUGCUCAUCAAAGGUAUCUAAAAGUUGUGUGCUCUGCAACAGAUGGGUUGUGUUAGUCAAUAGAAAUACCUAAUAUGUCAGUUUUGUUGCCAAAUAUUUUAAACACAUAUAUAUACAGAGUUCUAGAACAGAAGAUGAUCUGGUGGUUACCUUUCUGUUAUUUACUCGAAUGACUGUACGUAUAUCUUACCUUCAGACUUUAUCCGAUCUUGGUUAGUUUUCCAUCUCCAAUCAGAUUAAUGGUUUGCAUGCAGACCAAGCCCAGUGUUUUAUGGUGUUCUUAUUCCUGAUUUAGUUGUACAUUUGACUUUUAGUUUCUUCAUAGAUAAUAAAGUAGUGGCAGAUGAACCAGUAAGUUAUCUGUGCCCAUGCUUUGCUGUAAGCAUUAAAUUUGCUCUCUGCUUUUACUUUCGAUGUGUUAUCCGUACCCCUGUUUUUUGUGGCUAAUUAUUAUGCCUAUCAACAUAUGUAGAGUCCAUGGUAUCAUACGAUUUGAAGUUGAAAAAUUCAUGCUAUGUGUGAUACGGAAAAGUCAUUGCCUUCUUUGCUGGAACAUUUCCUAAGAUGAUCUAAGGUGGAGCAGCUAUGAAUAUCCUCGCUGAUCUAUGGAUCUAUCAUUGUAAGAGUCAAUGAUAUAUGGUCACUGCCGCGGAGACAGUGAAAGUGAGCACCACGCCGGUAUUCCCUUCAAUCCCGUGGGGGCAAGAGAACGAUGAUUUCGAGGUGCUGGUGCGUGUGGAGGCGCCGCCGGAGGCAAGCAGGCGAUCCCCCGUCGACCUAGUGGCCGUGCUGGAUAUCAGCAGCAGCAUGAAUACUCGGGCGGCGCCAUCCGAUGAGUCAUCGAGGCUGGAUCUGCUCAAACGAGCGAUGAAGUUCAUCAUCGGGAAGCUCGACAGCGGAGACCGCCUAGCUAUCGUGGCGUUCAACAACCAAAUCGUCGAAGAGUAUGGCACCAGGUUACUGGACAUGUCGUCCGGUGGCCGGAGAGAUGUAAGAAGGCGGGUCGAUGAGCUGACGGCGCGCGGCUCCACGGCGUUCCGGCCGGGCCUGUGUAAGGCGGUGAAGAUCCUCGACGAGAGAAGUGACGGAAGGAACCGUGCCGGCUUCAUCUUGUUCCUGUCGGAUGGAAAAGACAAGAGAGGAAUCAAGUGGAGCAUGGAAGUCGGGAUCAGCGCCGCGCUCCGGAAGUACCCCGUCCAUACCUUCGGCUUCAGCGGGUCUCACAAACCCAACGCGCUGCUCUUCAUCGCCCAGGAGUCGCGGGGAACCUACUCCUUCAUCAACGAGAACCUGGCCAGCAUCACCAGCGCCUUCGCCGUCUGCCUGGGCGGGCUCAAGAGCGUCGUCGCCGUCGACGAGCGCAUCAGCCUUGUGGCCCCGAAGCAUGGCGGGGUGCAGCUCAAGAGCAUCGACUCCGGUGGGUACGGGAGCCACAUCUCCGGAGACGGGGCGUCGGGCGAGAUCGUGAUCGGCGCGAUGUACGCCGGCGAGGUGAAGAACUUCAUCGUCCGCCUGCACGUGCCGUCGGUGGAUCUGGACAUCGGCAAUGGCAAAGUUGCCGUCUCAAAGCACCAGCUCCUGCUCACGGCCACACGCCACUUGCAUGCUGUCAAUGGGGUUGGGGAGAACGGCGGCAGCGCAUCACUGUCAGUCCAAAGGCCCGGAGCACUGGCCGUGCAGCAGCAAGUCGUUGCAUCCGCCUUGGUAGUGAACCACAUCGUCCGGUUCAGGUUGGUGGAGAUGGUGGCCAAGUUCGUCCAGGGCCUGGACAAGGUCGUCGCCACCAUUGAUCGCGUCAAGGCCGACGAGUUGCAGGGGAGGUGGGAGGAAUUCAAGGAAGCGCACAAGUUUUGGGGCGGCGUUGAGCUGUGGCGUUUCGAGGCCGACAUCAAAGUGAUGGUGACCGGCCUGCUGCACGGCGGCGGCCGAUCCGGGGUGGCAUACCUCUACUCAUGGGUGUCCAGCUACCAGAUGCAGCGGGCGACGACCAUGGGCUCCACGGAGAAGGUCGCCGCCGAGUUCCUCACGCGGGAGAUGGGUUUCAUGCUGAACGAGGCGCACAAAACUCCGGUUUGGCUUGUGGAAGAAGAGGACCCGUUUGUCCUUCGCAGCGACACCACUGACGAGACCGAAGCACCGCGUGGCUGCGGCAGGCGCGUCCAUGGCGUCCAACAUGACGUGAUCGACCCGCGGCUACAGAUGUGGUCCAAGCUGAAGCGCGAGGUGCCGCUCAUGUUCCGGCAGUCGGAAGAAACCGAGUCCCGCCAUCUCACCGCCGUCUUCCGCGAGGCGUCCCUCGAGACCAUCAACCGAGCAAUGCACCACGACAUAUAUCUGGCCGUGGUGCACGACCGCAGCCUGAGACGAUGCUACUCCGGCAACGCGUCGGAGCAGCGCGUGGAAUGCACGUCAACCACCGACCCAUGCUAGCUCAAGCACCGACGUGUUUUCACUUUGAAUUUGCAUUUCCUUUUUUCUUUUCUUCAUUUGCAAUUGUACUUUGCCGUGUCUUUAUUCUUGAGGACCCCUCCUCCUACCAGUUACUGGUGGAGUUGUGGAGAGCCGAAUAUUUUUCUUUUUGAGUCAAUUACACCACUGGUCCAUAAACAUGACGAGAAAAAUUAUUUUAGUGCUAAAACUUGUGGCAUACAGGGAACGGGUGUUAGAACUUGGCUCGGACGAUGCAAAUUGUGUUUGGAUAUGAAAACAAUGUUGACGAAGUUGGUGCGGGACCCACUGUCAACGACUGGAUGGUGGAGGUGGGGGUGUGGCCUGUCUUUUUGCGCACACACAAAAUGUGUCUUGGAGGUGGGGCUGUGGCCUGUUUUUUACACACACAAAAUGUCUCUUGAAGGUGGAGGUGUGGCCUGUCUUUUUACACAUGCAAAAUGUGUCUUCAGGGAACCAAACUCGAGACUCUUUGAUGUCCAAUAGAGAUAAAAAAGGCCUAAUGUACUAUAAUCAAGGCGCUAGCUGGGAUUCAAUGGAAUGUAGUUGUGCGGCCCAUUAAGAACAUGUUAACUUUUUAAGAUAUUGGCGAAAUGUAUGU